GUGAGGAAUAUUGGUCAAUGGGCGAGAGCCUGAACCAGCCAAGUCGCGUGAAGGAAGAAGGAUCUAUGGUUCGUAAACUUCUUUUGCAGGGGAAUAAAGUGCAGGACGUGUCCUGUUUUGUAUGUACCCUGAGAAUAAGGAUCGGCUAACUCCGUACCAGCAGCCGCGGUAAUACGGAGGAUCCGAGCGUUAUCCGGAUUUAUUGGGUUUAAAGGGUGCGUAGGUGGUUUGAUACGUCAGCGGUGAAAGUUUGCAGCUUAACUGUAAAAAUGCCGUUGAAACUGUCGGACUUGAGUGUAAAUGAGGUAGGCGGAAUGCGUGGUGUAGCGGUGAAAUGCAUAGAUAUCACGCAGAACUCCGAUUGCGAAGGCAGCUUACUAAGCUACAACUGACACUGAAGCACGAAAGCGUGGGGAUCAAACAGGAUUAGAUACCCGGGUAGUCC
rnacentral:rRNA from 1 species